CUAGAGAAGGCCUGAGCUAAGUAAUACAGACUGCAAUUUGGAUGCAAUGACUGGAGCUCCAGCACUUACCUUGUGUUAUGAGGAAAGGAUCCCCAGGACUCUCAAAAGUAUCAAAGAACUGAAGCUUACUAGAUCAUUGCGUCCAGACGAUGAGAUGCCAGGACCCUCAUUCAUCGAGAUUACUUCCUUACCCCUCCUGAGUUCCUAUUUUCCCAUAUAUAUUUACAUUUCUUCCCUGCUUUAUAAAGCCCUAAUUUUAGUCAGUCAGGGAGAUGGAUUUGAGACCGAGCUCCCAUCUCUUUGGCUGUAGCACCCAACUAAAGCCUUCUCUUUGGCCAUAAUUGUUGUCUCAGUGAUUGGCUUUCUAUGCUGCCAGCAGUAGGACCUAGACUGAACCCUGGUGUUUCAGUAACAGCUGUGCACUACCACCCCUGAAUCUGCUACCACCACAGUGUUGUAUUAGAGAAUCAGCAGGUGGGGGACACCCAUCCUCCCCUGGCAUUACCCACUCCCUGACACCCAGGAUGUGAAGGAAGGAGAUCCCAAAGUUUCAGGUUGUAACUAGUAGUGCAACAAGCAAAGGGCCAAGGAGAAGCAGAGACUAGAGGAAGGGACCAGGUGACCUGGCAGGGCAGGGAGAUGUGGGCUGCAGCAUGGACUAAGAGCAGACGGGAGACAAACUCCCUUUCCCUGAAUGCAUUAGAGGAAGGUGGCAGGGAGAGCCUCCUGAGUUCAUGCCUAUAAGGCAUUUCUGACAUUUAGCAUCAUUUUCUUAGGCAUAGGCUUUGGUACAUCUUGACUUUAUUUGAAUUAAACUGAUGAAAUAAUUAUUUAGCGAAUUUCAGAUGCUCUAAUUGUUAUGAAUAAAGAGAUCCCUAAGAUUUUGCUGUAUCUUUGGUAGGAAAAAUAGGGGG
rnacentral:lncRNA from 10 species